rnacentral:rRNA from 1 species
CGAACGGACGAUGAAGAGCUUGCUUUUCAGAGUUAGUGGCGGACGGGUGAGUAACGCGUGGGUAACCUGCCUCAUACAGGGGGAUAGCAGCUGGAAACGGCUGAUAAAACCGCAUAAGCGCACAGCAUCGCAUGAUGCAGUGUGAAAAACUCCGGUGGUAUGAGAUGGACCCGCGUCUGAUUAGCUUGUUGGUGAGGUAACGGCCCACCAAGGCGACGAUCAGUAGCCGGCCUGAGAGGGUGACCGGCCACAUUGGGACUGAGACACGGCCCAAACUCCUACGGGAGGCAGCAGUGGGGAAUAUUGCACAAUGGGGGAAACCCUGAUGCAGCGACGCCGCGUGAAGGAAGAAGUAUCUCGGUAUGUAAACUUCUAUCAGCAGGGAAGAUAAUGACGGUACCUGACUAAGAAGCCCCGGCUAACUACGUGCCAGCAGCCGCGGUAAUACGUAGGGGGCAAGCGUUAUCCGGAUUUACUGGGUGUAAAGGGAGCGUAGGCGGCGGAGCAAGUCAGAAGUGAAAGCCCGGGGCUCAACCCCGGGACGGCUUUUGAAACUGCCCUGCUUGAUUUCAGGAGAGGUAAGCGGAAUUCCUAGUGUAGCGGUGAAAUGCGUAGAUAUUAGGAGGAACACCAGUGGCGAAGGCGGCUUACUGGACUGACAAUGACGCUGAGGCUCGAAAGCGUGGGGAGCAAACAGG